rnacentral:rRNA from 1 species
AAGUGGUAGCAAUACCAUGAGUAAAGUGGCGCACGGGUGAGUAACACGUGACUAACCUACCCUGGAGUGGGGGAUAACUGAGGGAAACCUUAGCUAAUACCGCAUAAUACCCACGGGUCAAAGGAGCAAUUCGCUUUGGGAGGGGGUCGGGCCGAUUAGUUAGUUGGCGGGGUAACGGCCCACCAAGACGAUGAUCGGUAUCCGGCCUGAGAGGGCGCACGGACACACUGGAACUGAAACACGGUCCAGACUCCUACGGGAGGCAGCAGUGGGGAAUUUUGCGCAAUGGGGGAAACCCUGACGCAGCAACGCCGCGUGGAGGAUGAAGUCCUUCGGG